rnacentral:misc_RNA from 1 species
UUUUUAGUUUUGUUUAUGUGAGGAAUUAUAUUUAUUGAUUUGUGUAUGUUGAAUUAGUUUUGUAUUUUAGGGAUGAAGUUUAUUUGAUUAUGGUGGAUAAGUUUUUUGAUGUGUUGUUGGAUUUGGUUUGUUAGUAUUUUAUUGAGGAUUUUUGUAUUAAUGUUUAUUAAGGAUAUUGGUUUAAAAUUUUUUUUUUUUGUUGUGUUUUUGUUAGGUUUUGGUAUUAGGAUGAUGUUGGUUUUAUAAAAUGAGUUAGGGAGGAUUUUUUUUUUUUUUAUUGAUUGGAAUAGUUUUAGAAGGAAUGGUAUUAGUUUUUUUUUGUAUUUUUGGUAGAAUUUGGUUGUGAAUUUAUUUGGUUUUGGAUUUUUUUUGGUUGGUAAGUUAUUGAUUAUUGUUAUAAUUUUAGAUUUUGUUAUUGGUUUAUUUAGAGAUUUAAUUUUUUUUUGGUUUAGUUUUGGGAGGGUGUAUGUGUUGAGGAAUUUAUUUAUUUUUUUUAGAUUUUUUAGUUUAUUUGUAUAGAGGUGUUUAUAGUAUUUUUUGAUGGUAGUUUGUAUUUUUGUGGGAUUGGUGGUG